ensembl:lncRNA novel transcript
UUGAUGAGAAGCUAAGUUUUAUUAUUAUAAUUACAAAUUAAUUACAGAGAAACUGAAGCCAUUCUUCAUACAUGACAAACAUACAUUUCCUCUGUGUGUACAGCACACAAGUAAUAUACACAAAUAUAUUCCAUGUCUGAACAAAUCCUUUUUAAAACUUUAAAAGCUGGCUGGGCACAGUGGCUCACGCCUGUAAUCCCGGCACUUUGGGAGGCCAAGGCAUGAGCCACCACACCCAGCCCAGACUUACUUUUUUUAAAAUAAGACUACC